rnacentral:rRNA from 1 species
GCUUGCUGGGGUACACGAGUGGCGAACGGGUGAGUAACACGUGGGUGACCUGCCCCGCACUUCGGGAUAAGCCUGGGAAACUGGGUCUAAUACCGGAUAGGACCGCACCGUGAGGGUGUGGUGGAAAGUUUUUCGGUGUGGGAUGGGCCCGCGGCCUAUCAGCUUGUUGGUGGGGUAAUGGCCUACCAAGGCGGCGACGGGUAGCCGGCCUGAGAGGGUGGACGGCCACAUUGGGACUGAGACACGGCCCAGACUCCUACGGGAGGCAGCAGUGGGGAAUAUUGCACAAUGGGCGGAAGCCUGAUGCAGCGACGCCGCGUGGGGGAUGACGGCCUUCGGGUUGUAAACUCCUUUCACCAUCGACGAAGGUUUUCUGACGGUAGAUGGAGAAGAAGCACCGGCUAACUACGUGCCAGCAGCCGCGGUAAUACGUAGGGUGCGAGCGUUGUCCGGAAUUACUGGGCGUAAAGAGCUCGUAGGUGGUUUGUCGCGUCGUCUGUGAAAUUCCGGGGCUUAACUCCGGGCGUGCAGGCGAUACGGGCAUAACUUGAGUACUGUAGGGGAGACUGGAAUUCCUGGUGUAGCGGUGAAAUGCGCAGAUAUCAGGAGGAACACCGG